rnacentral:lncRNA from 1 species
UGCCUUAGGCCUUUAGCACGAUAGCAGGCUAGAGUUAAUUUUUCCUUUCCUUUUUAUUGGAGAUUCAAACCCAAGGCCUUAUGCAUGGUAGGAAAGUUCUCUACCCAGCUCCAUUUCAAAUCCUUAUUUUCAUUAUUUUUAACCAUGUAUAUGUAUGUCUUUGUACUGUGCAUUUGAAUGUGUGGGUUCCUCCAGAGGCCAGAGAUGUGGGACCCCCUGUAGUUGGAGUUACAUGGGUCCUGGGAAUUGAACAGCAGUAUAUAUGCUCUUAACUGCUGAGCCAUCUCUCCAGCCCUACCUCCUCCAGUGCUGUUUUUAGUUUGAAUUCCCUUGAAUUGUCUCUUGAAGAAAAGGUUUCCUGUUUCCUCCACCAAGGUUUGAGGUGGGACUUGAACAGCCACAGAGGGUCAGGCUUGCCUACUGUAGAUUUGGAUAUCCCUCCCUCCCUCCUUCUCUCUCUCUCUUUCUCCCCCUCUCUCCCUCCCUCCUUCUCCCUCCUUUUUUUUGUUUUUUUUUUUUUUGUUUGUUUUUUUUUGUUUUUGUUUUUUUUAAAGACAGGGUUUCUCUGUGUAGCCCUGGCUGUCCUGGAACUCACUCUGUAGACCAGGCUGGCCUCGAACUCAGAAAUCCUCCCAAGUGCUGGGAUUAAAGGCGUGUGCCACCACACCAGGCUUUGAUUUAGGUUUCUUGAAGGCAGGGUCUAAGCUGUUGUUUAAAUAUCUAUCAAUCUCUAUAUCGAAUCUAUCUAUCAACCUAUAUCAUCUACUUAUUAUCUAUCUCUUUCUUUCUUUCUUUUUUUUUUUUAAGAUUUAUUUAUUUAUUUUAUGUAAGUACACUGUAGCUGUCUUCAGACACCCCCAGAAGAGGGCAUCAGAUCUCAUUACAGAUGGUUGUGAGCCACCAUAUGGUUGCUGGAAUUUGAACUCAGGACCUUUGGAAGAGUAGUCAGUGCUCUUAACCACUGAGCCAUCUCUCCAGCCCUAUCUAUCUCUUUCUAUUGUCUAUCAAUCUCUAUCUUCUAGCAAACUCUGUCCUCUAGCUAGGGAGCUGCUGGUCUGUAACUAAUCCCGAGUCUGUAACCCAGCAAUACUUUUGCCUCAGUUUCCCCAGUGCUGCAAUUACAGGUUGUCACAGUCUGUCUGCAAUUACAGGUUGUCACAGUCUGUGUUGGUCCAGGAAGGCUUGGCUCCCUACCCUGCAUGUUUCUGAAGUUUUACUGUAUCUUACUUUCCCAGAAGUUUACUGUGUUACACACUCUAAGGCCAAAUUAGGGUGGUAAAGAGCAGAAGUUGAAAUUCGGCAGGUGGAGGUGGGGACAAGCCUGGGACAGCAGCCUUGGGAGUGGAGGCAAGGCCAGGUGAUGGGGAGGAAUGAGAAGGCCAGGAAGGCUGGGCUUAUUUAUCUCCAUUGAGUAUCUUCCUGUGAGUUCCUGCAGACGUGUUCCAUUUCCAUUGGCUCUCUGCUCCUCUAUGCUGUCCCCUCUGGCCCAGUAGCAAUCUAGUCUUUCUUCCUUGAAAAAUGGCCCCGAGGUACUGGGACAAAUCCUGUAACUUUUUUUUUUUUUUUUUUAAAUCAAGCUCACUUCAGUUAUCCAUCAGUGUCUAGAUAUUGGUAGGAUGUCCUAGAGAUCUGUGAGUGAGACUUUGGGCAAGCUACCCAACUCCUCAGUGCUUCGGUUCCCUCAUAUAUAAAUAUUCCCAGGAGAAGACACAGCUGUAAAGGUAAUAUUUGGUUCUAAGUUGGUAACAAAGUGAUUUUGUUCGUUCAUUUUUGUUGUUGUUUUUUUUUUUUUGUUUGUCUGCAGUACUGCUACCACCGCCUGGCCACAAGGUGAAGAUUUAACUAUUAGAGGAUUCAACCAUGAAGGUCUGGGUAUACAGUGCAUCCCUGUGACCCCAGCACUCUGUGCAGAAGCAAGAAGAUAGCAGCAAAUUCAAGGCCUGCCUAAUGACCUACCUACAAAGUCAUACUUAAACUGAGACACUGACGCUCAGUAGAAGCUGAGCAGAAGGAUAGAGACCUGCAGGCCAGCAUGUUCUGUCUAGCAAGUUUAAGGAUAGGGUUACAUAAGGGAACCCCCGUCUCAAUAAUAUAAAGUAAAAUAAAAUAAAAUGAAGGGAGAAGCUUCCCUGAAUACCUGUCAUUGCCAACAUCGGUCCCUAAAUGGCAUCCUGCACAGGUUGCUACGCCCAGUCUCAACUGACUGCACGGAGGGUCCACAGUUGUGUGUCCUAGAGUAACCAGUGACCUAUAGCUUUCCUUGCGUUAACAAGUUCAGCUGAGGUCUUUAAAAUGUUUCACGAAUUUGUAUUUGAGAAGAGACAACUUGAAAUAGCAAAAAUCUUAUUAAAUUUUUAUUUAG